UACGUAGGGUGCGAGCGUUGUCCGGAAUUAUUGGGCGUAAAGAGCUCGUAGGCGGUUUGUCGCGUCGACUGUGAAAACCUACAGCUUAACUGUGGGCUUGCAGUCGAUACGGGCAGACUUGAGUUCGGUAGGGGAGACUGGAAUUCCUGGUGUAGCGGUGAAAUGCGCAGAUAUCAGGAGGAACACCCGUGGCGAAGGCGGUUCUCUGGGACGGUACUGACGCUGAGACGCGAAAGCGUGGGGAGCGAACAGG
rnacentral:rRNA from 1 species